UGCCAGGGAUCGGAUUCGAACCCACAGUGUUCCGAUUACCGGGCAGAUGCCAUGUCCACUAGGCUACCCUGGA
rnacentral:tRNA from 1 species